rnacentral:lncRNA from 1 species
ACCCCAGCACGGAGCAGAGGCAAUUACCCUCCGCACGCAGAGACCGUGGAGCUGAAUCGUGCUGAAUAGAGAACCCCUCCAGCUGGCAGAACCAUGUGUGGCUGGGAAGAGCAGCCACUUUCGCUCCGCUGAGAAGCAAUGCAAACACACCGGUGACAAGAACUGCUUCCAGGUCUGGAUGGACAUGAACCUGAGUGGAGCCUGAAUGCAGCUGAAACCACACUGACUAACAAAACUUUUAAAAUAUGACUACAGUAAGGAUUUUAACUCCACAAUGCUGCCAUGCCGGAAUGUGACAGGCUUUCUACCCAGGUCUGGAAGGUGGUUGAUGAUGUUAGCAGCAAAUAUAAACCCA